UACGAAGGGUGCAAGCGUUACUCGGAAUUACUGGGCGUAAAGCGUGCGUAGGUGGUGGUUUAAGUCUGUUGUGAAAGCCCUGGGCUCAACCUGGGAAUUGCAGUGGAUACUGGGUCACUAGAGUGUGGUAGAGGGUAGCGGAAUUCCCGGUGUAGCAGUGAAAUGCGUAGAGAUCGGGAGGAACAUCCGUGGCGAAGGCGGCUACCUGGACCAACACUGACACUGAGGCACGAAAGCGUGGGGGAGCAAACAGGG
rnacentral:rRNA from 1 species